AGUGAACGCUGGCGGUAGGCCUAACACAUGCAAGUCGAACGGCAGCACAGUAAGAGCUUGCUCUUACGGGUGGCGAGUGGCGGACGGGUGAGGAAUACAUCGGAAUCUACUUUUUCGUGGGGGAUAACGUAGGGAAACUUACGCUAAUACCGCAUACGACCUACGGGUGAAAGCAGGGGAUCUUCGGACCUUGCGCGAUUGAAUGAGCCGAUGUCGGGUUAGCUAGUUGGCGGGGUAAAGGCCCACCAAGGCGACGAUCCGUAGCUGGUCUGAGAGGAUGAUCGGCGACACGGGAAGGGAGAGAGGGGGGAGAGGGGGACGGGAGGGAGGAGGGGGGAAGAGGGGACAAGGGGGGGAAGGGUGGUGGAGGGAGAGGGGGGGGGGGAAGAAGGGGGGGGGGGGGGAAAGGGGGGGUGUGGGGAAAGAAAAGGAGGAGGUUAAUACCCCGCUGUUCUGACGGUACCCAAAGAAUAAGCACCGGCUAACUUCGUG
rnacentral:rRNA from 1 species